CACGUAGGGCGCAAGCGUUGUCCGGAAUUAUUGGGCGUAAAGAGCUCGUAGGUGGUUUGCUGCGUCCGCUGUGAAAACCCAAGGCUUAACCUUGGGCUUGCAGUGGAUACGGGCAGACUAGAGGUAGGUAGGGGAGAAUGGAAUUCCCGGUGUAGCGGUGAAAUGCGCAGAUAUCGGGAGGAACACCGGUGGCGAAGGCGGUUCUCUGGGCCUUACCUGACACUGAGGAGCCGAAAGCGUGGGGAGCGAACAGG
rnacentral:rRNA from 1 species